UAAUCGGAGAGUUUGAUCCUGGCUCAGAACGAACGCUGGCGGCGGGCCUAACACAUGCAAGUCGAACGAGAAAGUUCCCGCUUGCGGGAGCGAGUAAAGUGGCGCACGGGUGAGUAACGCGUGGUUAAUCUGCCUUUAAGUCGGGAAUAACGUGCCGAAAGGCGCACUAAUACCGGAUAGGACCACGAUGUCUGCGGACAUUGAGGUGAAAGGGGGCUUUUCGAAGCUCCCGCUUAAAGAUGAGACCGCGUCCCAUUAGCUUGUUGGUGAGGUAACGGCUCACCAAGGCCGCGAUGGGUAGCUGAUUUGAGAGAAUGAUCAGCCACACUGGAACUGACACACGGUCCAGACUCCUACGGGAGGCAGCAGUGAGGACUAUUGCGCAAUGGGGGAAACCCUGACGCAGCCACGCCGCGUGGGUGAUGAAGGCCUUCGGGUCGUAAAGCCCUGUCAGAUGGAAAGAAACCCCCAUGGGUUAAUACCCCGUGGGAUUGACGGUACCAUCAAAGGAAGCACCGGCUAACUCCGUGCCAGCAGCCGCGGUAAUACGGGGGGUGCAAGCGUUGUUCGGAAUUACUGGGCGUAAAGGGCGCGUAGGCGGUUUGGUAAGUUAGACGUGAAAGCCCUCGGCUUAACCGGGGAAGUGCGUUUAAUACUGCCAGACUUGAGUCUCGGAGGGGGUUGUGGAAUUCCUGGUGUAGAGGUGAAAUUCGUAGAUAUCAGGAGGAACACCGGCGGCGAAGGCGGCAACCUGGACGAUGACUGACGCUGAUGCGCGAAAGCGUGGGGAGCAAACAGAAUUAGAUACUCUGGUAGUCCACGCUGUAAACGGUGUUCACUAGGCGUAGCGGGUAUUGACCCCUGCUGUGCCGAAGCUAACGCAUUAAGUGAACCGCCUGGGGACUACGGCCGCAAGGCUAAAACUCAAAGGAAUUGACGGGGGCCCGCACAAGCGGUGGAGCAUGUGGUUUAAUUCGACGCAACGCGAAGAACCUUACCUGGGCUUGACAUCCUCUGACAUCCCAUGAAAGUGGGCUUUCACUUCGGUGACAGAGAGACAGGUGCUGCAUGGCUGUCGUCAGCUCGUGUCGUGAGAUGUUGGGUUAAGUCCCGCAACGAGCGCAACCCCUAUUGCCAGUUGCCAGUAUUAAGUUAGGCACUCUGACAAGACUGCCUCGGUUAACGAGGAGGAAGGUGGGGAUGACGUCAAGUCCUCAUGGCCCUUAUGUCCAGGGCUACACACGUGCUACAAUGGCCGGUACAAAGGGCCGCAAUAUCGUAAGAUGGAGCUAACCCCAUAAAGCCGGUCUCAGUUCGGAUUGGAGUCUGCAACUCGACUUCAUGAAGUUGGAAUCGCUAGUAAUCCCGGAUCAGCAUGCCGGGGUGAAUACGUUCCCGGGCCUUGUACACACCGCCCGUCACACCACGAAAGCCUGUUGUACCAGAAAUGGCUGGGCCAACCCGCAAGGGAGGCAGGUCCUUAAGGUAUGGCCGGUGAUUGGGGUGAAGUCGUAACAAGGUAGCCGUUGGGGAACCAGCGGCUGGAUCACCUCCUUU
rnacentral:rRNA from 1 species